GGGUAGUUGGGUGAGUGGCUAAAACCAUCAGACUGUAAAUCUGACCUCAUUUGAGUUCCCUGGUUCGAAUCCAGGACUGCCCA
rnacentral:tRNA from 1 species